CUCUCGCCAGAGCACUACGAGCCACAGCUUAAAACUCAAAGGACCUGGCGGCGCCCUACAUCCAUCUAGAGGAGCCUGUUCUAUAAUCGACAUCCCCCGAUAAACCUCACCACCUCUUGCUAAUACAGUUUAUAUACCACCGCCUCAGUGUACCUUUUAAAAGAAUAAAAGUGAACGAAAUAAUUUUAAAUAAAAAAGUCAGGUCAAGGUGUAGCAAAUGAGCUGGAAAGAAAUGGGCUACAUUUUUUAUUUUAAAAAACACGGAAUAUUUUAUGAAAUAAAAUAUGAAGGAGGAUUUAGAAGUAAAAAGAAAAAAGAGUGUUCUUUUUAAAUAGGCAAUAGAGCACGCACACACCGCCCGUCACCCUCUUUAAAAAUAAUUAGACCUAAUUACAAAAGAGGAAAGUCGUAACAUGGUAAGUCUACCGGAAGGUGGCCUUGGAUAUAGAAUAUAGCUUAAAAUAAAGCAUUUUGUUUACACCAAAAAAAUAUUUGUUUAACCAAAUUAUUCUGAAUUUUAAAUCUAGCCCAAACAUAAUAAUUAUACACCACCCAAUA
rnacentral:misc_RNA from 1 species